GUUCCAACAGUCCAGUCGCCGUUCAGUCCUGAGUGAACCUCAACGGAUGUCGUUUCUUUGGCUCACAUAAUCCCGCUUCCCGUUGCACCUUCUGGAAGAAAGCCUAACUCUGACCACGACGAAGGCAACCACUCGGGAAGUUUUCGUUGAUACUACGACGGCGAUUACUACCAUUGUGCUAGCCAAGACAACCCACACCACGGCGACUGCGACCACGUCGCCAAUUGACUACUACUACGACUACCACUACCACGACUACCACAACAACGACUACUACUACCACCACCUUGAAACCACAGGAAUUAAGCCAGACGCAAGUGUACCGAACAACUCUCAAUCGUAAUAUAACGGACCCAUACGCAUGCUGGACUACAGGACCGUCACCCUGGGAUAGACCUGGCAUGCCGUUAUGCAGUCGUCAUUCGUGUGCCAAAAUGGACUAUAUCAUAGGGUAGUAACCGAAAAUCAGGGGCACCUUGAAACCGACACCACCCGACUCGACCAAGGGGGCCGUACGUUUGACAACACUUUCACAGUAGCGUACGACUCGGAUUGUUCUAUGUCGAAAACGGUUAGAGCUCAUCUUCGACGCAUGAGACAGCACUGCGCUUAUUCACCCUCCCACACUGGGGGUGAUGGAAAGACGAGUCUCCGAAGAUGCGGACGAUUUAUUGAACGUUUUUUUUUUCUCUUUUUUUCUGGAAACUGUUCUGGUAUCAGGUGACCGAAGGGACCAGAUGCUCUCAUUCGGACAACUUUGUAGCUUUGCUUUGCUUUCGAGUUUGCUAGUGCCCUCCUAAGGAGUGCCCUUCAGCAUAUAUUAUAUUGCAAUAGAUUUGAUCUAGGAAAAAAGUGAUAUACAUAUUUCUUUAAAAAUAUGUUAGCUGCGGCACCCCGUAUUCAGUGUGUAUCAGAAGCCUCUGUGGCGCAAGUUCCAAACGAUAGUUUCUAAUGGUGUAUUCUACAGAAGCGCCGUGUCAAAUGGCGUAUUUCAUAAAACGCAACAUCUCAGGGGUGUGCUCCACAGCGGUGUUUGUCAGCUUUCUGCCUGAAAAAAGGUAUUCAUUUGCGGACACUCUAUGAAGGGCGCAGAAAUUUUUCUGUGCUCUUCGUGUGAGAGCCACGCUGCCCUUGCGUGUCGGUAUAUCUCGGGCAAUUAUCCCGGAUAGGCUUGACUACUUAAUGGAAGAAAUGAGUGGCUCGAUGAAAGAGGUUAGCUUAUGGGUCACGCCGACGGGCCUGCAGACAGGUGGCUACGAAGGACUGUGCUCGCUGUCGCUGCGCGCGCCCUCGUAGCCCCAUGUGCGAAGAGCACCGCAGAUAACACGGGAGUACCUGCGAAAUUGAAGCAGUACGCUGCAAAUUCGAGGGAAAAGAAGAUGUGCGCGUGCUGGUGCAUCACGCUGUGCACUUAAUGCGCUGCGCUGCGCAGUCAUAAUGUUGAUAAUCUGCUAACAACGAGCGAGCUUGAAGUUGUGCAGGGGUUCCACUCAGCAGUUGGCAGUAAUGUUUUUGCUUUUAAUGUAUGGUAAAGGUAGCGCCUCAACGCACACGAAGAAAAUGUCACUCUACGAUUCUCCUGUUUUGCACGUUACAAGAAGGGUGCGAAGUAUACGCUACAGUAUUUUGAUCUACGUGGUUGGCUUGGAUUUCAUUGUACACUCCGUCCCACGCUGCUUGUAGUGAAUGAAUGGAAGUUGUGUGCGCACGUACACGUCCUUGCAAUUCUUUUCGGUGAAUAACUUUCGCACAUAGUGGCGGUGACCCGCUGAGAUUUAAUACAAUAUAUAAAUUUAAGUGGAAAAGUAAAAUAUCGUGGUAUAUGCUCCGUACGUCACGUAAUUCCUUGUCGUUCCCGCUGAGAUUAGCUUCUAGCUGCAGCAUGUUCGGAAACAUAGCGAUACGUGCUAUUACGUUCAGAGUGUUUGAAAUUGCCGAGAAUCUAAUACCUAAAAGGGUGUGUGACACCAACAACAUACACCAACAACUUUAUUUUUAUGCUCAGCAAUGGAGAGUUUCACUAGGCAUUCAAAGAUGUUGUUAUGCGUUUGUAUUCGUAAUGUGACGUUGCAAACAUCAUGCAAAAAUCAUCAAACACCGCAAGUAAGUGAAAAUGCGGGACACUUCGAGGCUCGUGAUGCCGCGAUAGGCCAUCCACCAGCCCAGUUGCUUUCGCACUGUCGCACACAAUCUGGAUCGGUCAGCAAUCCAGGUCCGCGCAAUCCCGCUGGGCGCGCCGUGCCGUCCGCACUUCCCACUCGUGAUCUUGGUGUUUCGUUUGCAGCCGUCUGGUGGAAGCUUUGCAUAAUACCCCCUGAAGUUUCAAAUUAAAAGAAAACACUGGCCUAAGAUGUCUACUUGAAAUAAAUUUACAUUAAUACAAAUGCGAUUUUGUCUGUUUCGGCGUUUGUCUGUUUUCUUAGUGCGGGUGGCUGUCAUCGCUACAAUCUUGCCAACCCUGAAGCGGCACUGCGAGUAGCGAGAAGGCGAGGGUGAA